AUGAACGCUAGCUACAGGCUUAACACAUGCAAGUCGAGGGGAAACGACAUCGAAAGCUUGCUUUGAUGGGCGUCGACCGGCGCACGGGUGAGUAACGCGUAUCCAACCUGCCCACCACUUGGGGAUAACCUUGCGAAAGUAAGACUAAUACCCAAUGAUAUCUCUAGAAGACAUCUGAGAGAGAUUAAAGAUUUAUCGGUGAUGGAUGGGGAUGCGUCUGAUUAGCUUGUUGGCGGGGUAACGGCCAACCAAGGCGACGAUCAGUAGGGGUUCUGAGAGGAAGGUCCCCCACAUUGGAACUGAGACACGGUCCAAACUCCUACGGGAGGCAGCAGUGAGGAAUAUUGGUCAAUGGACGAGAGUCUGAACCAGCCAAGUAGCGUGCAGGAUGACGGCCCUAUGGGUUGUAAACUGCUUUUAUAAGGGAAUAAAGUGAGCCUCGUGAGGCUUUUUGCAUGUACCUUAUGAAUAAGGACCGGCUAAUUCCGUG
rnacentral:rRNA from 1 species